rnacentral:rRNA from 1 species
UACAGAGACUGCAAGCGUUAUUCGGAUUCACUGGGCGUAAAGGGUGCGCAGGCGGCCGUGUGUGUCAGGUGUGAAAGCCCGGAGCUUAACUCCGGAAUUGCGCCUGAAACUACAUGGCUAGAGCAUUGGAGAGGGAAGUGGAAUUCACGGUGUAGCAGUGAAAUGCGUAGAUAUCCGGAGGAACACCAGUGGCGAAAGCGGCCACCUGGACUGCACCUGACGCUGACACGCGAAAGCUAGGGGAGCGAACGGG